GAGAGAGAGAGAGAGAGAGAGAUAGGGAGAGACGGGGAUAAAAAGAAAACCUAGAGAGACAGAUAUACACAGAUAUAAAAGAAGAGACAACAACAACGUCACAACUUUUACCUCUAGACCAGCUUUUUCUCCCUGUGGAACUAUUCUGUGGAUUAUGUCCCUAAGCUCUGCAGUGAAACCUGAUGUGACACUGUCUGAAUUUUAAAAUCGAACUUCUAACUCUUUAAAUUAUGUGACUGCCAUUGCCAAAACGUCACCUUUGACCUCCCCUCAAAUCCUGGCUACUGGAGACAACUUUACAUCAUUAAGGACAACUGUCAGGACAUGGAUGUAUUAGCUCACUGAUAAUAUCUGGCAGCCAUCUGCAACUCACUUCCACCUACAGCAAUUCAAACCUGCCGUUGUGUGGAACCUGAAAACUCAGGAGCAGCAUGGAGGUGCUGAGCGGCCCAUGGGCAGAUCUGGCUCUGCUCCUUCGACAGACCAUCACACAGACAGACACAGACACAGACAGCUUUGUUCCUCUUUGGUUGUUCGGCCUACUGCUGUUCCUGUCCGUCUGUCUGCUGCUGCUGCAACUGAUUAUCUACCUCAGCUGGAAACUCAGACAGGUUGACGCUGAUCUGUCGGGGUUUCCACGAGACGGACGCGCCAUCUACAGGCACAUACACAGAAGUACACAUCAGAGGAGAAGAAGCGUUGGGUAGCACUCACAACCUGGCAGGACCGACACUUUAAACCUGUUCAUAUGGACACUUACUGAUGGUUUCCACUCAGCAUGAGUAUCUUUACAGAGCAAUGGGACAUAAUGGAAACACCAGCAAGGCCCUGGGAGGGAUCUAAUGAAGGUGCUUUAAGAAGAUGAAUGUAGAAGCCUUUAAAGAUACUCAUUGUCAUAGAAGAUAUGUGGAAAUAAGAGACUGAUAUUAUGAAGCUAAAAGCAUCUUUUAGAGCUGUAUUUAAUUUAUUACUCAUCCUCAUAUUGUUAUUCAUUUCCUAUCUGCUAGUAAUUGUACAAUAGUUUACAUUUCAUGCCAGAAGGUACAAGAGACUGAAGCUUAAAACAGUGAAUGAAUAAAUGACAACAACAAACAGA